AAAUUGAAGAGUUUGAUCAUGGCUCAGAUUGAACGCUGGCGGCAGGCCUAACACAUGCAAGUCGAACGGUAACAGGAAGCAGCUUGCUGCUUCGCUGACGAGUGGCGGACGGGUGAGUAAUGUCUGGGAAACUGCCUGAUGGAGGGGGAUAACUACUGGAAACGGUAGCUAAUACCGCAUAAUGUCGCAAGACCAAAGAGGGGGGACC
rnacentral:rRNA from 1 species